UAUUCUAUAUCGAUGGUCAACUUUCACUGAUAAAUGAAGACCAACAUUUCUGCUCCAUGGCGUGCUCAGAUUGUAAAAUGCCAUUUUUAAGAACUACUUCACCAAGGCCAAUCUACUGCAUCCAAUGCGAAAGAUCCACCCAACUUAUUCCCAGAAUUCAAUUUGAAGUUAUGGUCAUGGAUCACACUGGUAGCACAGUAGCCUCCAUCUCGGAUCAAUCAGCAACGAAGAUGUUGAACCUCACUGUACAAGAUAUUUAUGACAUCUGCCAUGCACAGAGAAAAGCGCUACUUCUUGACAAUGCGCAUAAACAAUUGGACCAAAGACUUUCAGAAUCCAAAUGAAAAGAUUAUUUUCCAAAAAUCAAGAUAGGCUAGCUAUCAUGAAUUAUGAGGAAAAAGAACCUACCAACCAACCAUUACCAACUGCACCAAUGACCAGCACUGCUGAAGCAAGCAAGCGCAAGGCUAUGGAGAUUGGCUUCGACCGAACGAAUCAGCAGAACCUGCCCACCAAAGACAGACCUUCCAGCACUAAACAGAAAACAGAAACCAAGACUCCUCUCAAAAGGGAGUGAAAGCUACUGGAAAUGGCAUCGGUGUUGGGAUCACAUAUCUAAACCUCCAUAUUUCUAGGCAGUUCUUCAGAAGAAACACUCUUCCUAUCUUUUCCACUGUUCUGAUAAGUAUUUCUGCUCGAUAUUUCAGAAAUGACAUCCUCAAUAUCAUGAAAUUCCACCCAUAUCUUCUUAUCUCCAUCUCUCUGAUUCUGGGUGUUGAUGAUCCAGUAAACUUACUCAAUAUUAAGCUGCUGUCAUAGGCAAUUUGACAUGGAUAGGCUAGGUUAAUAAUACAAACCUCGCAUGUUGAUGAUGAUAAGUGUAGACAUGCCAUAAAACUUGGCACUUACAUUGUAGAAUCUAGAGUGCAACUGUAUGAUAUCAUAAAAGAUUGUUGAACUACCAUAGUGAUAUUAUGCGGUUUUCAUUUUUGUUAUCCGUUUGCCUAUUUAAUUCUAACUGUUUCUGGAGCCAAGAAACAACUCAUAUUCGACAUAUCUUCUUCUUGGCAUUAAAUUGAGUAGGCAUUUGGCCAUGAAGGCCAAAUAUUUUUCACUUUAUUUGGAACUUUUAGAUUGGAGUUGAACUUGGAGUUGUAAAUGAAGUUGUUUUGCAAAGAAUAGUUGGUUAUUUAAAAAACAGAGUUUUGGGAUUUUCAAAUGGGUGUAAAUUGAAAGUGAACAUCUUAAUUAAUAACCUUAGAUCUUUGACCAUAAAUACAUAGAUGUUUCAGAGUUUGCUCCUCUGAUUCUGCAACUCUCUAAAUAAAUUCUCAUACUUCAUGUUUUUUUGGUUCAAUUUUGUGCCUUCUAAUCAAUAUGUCUUUUGUCUAUUUACUCUUUGGUACUCCAUAACUUUUAGAUGGACAAUACGUUCUUUUUAGAAGAUAUGAGUCAUUACACGUUGCAUAUAUGCUGCAACAUUUUCUGUUCGAAGAUUUGGUUGUUUAUUCUCUGCUAUGCUAAUAGAAACUUGAUAAAAAAAAGUUGGCAACUUCCUUUCUUUGGCCAACAGAAAUGCAUAACAGAUGCUUUUCAUUCGCUAAAAACAACACUCUAAUUUUAAAGCUGCAAUUUGAUGUGUUGAUGGAUCUCUAUGGUACAUCCGGAACAUAUAUCCAAAUUCACAUUUUUUUUCUUUGCUCAUUUGAUUUGUUUGGAUGUUAUAUAUUAUGGUGUGUAUUACUCCUUGCUGAAUUAUGCACGACAUGUUACUCUUCUGACUCCACAUCUUAUAGAAAAAGUCUAGAGGGGCUGCUGCUCUUCCAUGUCCAGUCAACCGUACAUUUACCAUUUUCCAAUUCCAUAUAUUUUUAUGAAAAAUACACUGAUAUAAGUUUUGAAUAGACGAAAAGAGAUGGUCUUACACUAUUGUUGGAUUAAGCUAUUGGUCUAUAUGAGAAUUGUCAUGCUAUUUCUGGAAAUUACUGCUGCUAUAGUAAACUCAUCCUAUUUCUGUAUGUAUUGCUACUAAUACAAAACAACAAUGUUACGUCUAGGAAAAAAAAUACUUUCUUUAUAUCUCUAAACCUCUUUUGUCUAAUGCUGAUCUAUCAAUUGGAGUGGCUAAUAGAACCCUUUGGUUUUUUCAUUUACUUUCAACAUCUACAUUCCUAACCAAAGCUAACAUCAUUUUGUUAUCAAGUUUUGCCAACAAGUUUUUGGAGCACAUCUUUUUGCCAAUGCACUGGCAAGCUACUAUCUUUUUGCCACAAGAUUGUCUUUUUGAAAAGCUACAUUACAACCAUAUGUGACACCCCAUGCUUUAAAAAGGUAUUUUGUCAACCAUGGCGUCGCACAACUACAACAUGCAUGAUUGGUACUAAGAAAAUACUUUUUCUGUAAAUAUGUGGUAUAAAUGAUGUAUAUAUGACAAUGCAAUCAUCAAUGUAAUAGACAAAUGUAUAUAUGCAUAAACAGUGCAAACUUAUUUUAGUUGUCUUAUACUAUCUUA